UACGUAGGUGGCAAGCGUUAUCCGGAUUUAUUGGGUGUAAAGGGUGAGUAGGCGGGUCCUCAAGUCAGAUGUGAAAUGCUGUGGCUCAACCGCAGAAUUGCAUUUGAAACUAAGGAUCUUGAGAGUCGGAGAGGUAAUUGGAAUUCCCAGUGUAGCGGUGAAAUGUGUAGAGAUUGGGAGGAACACCAGUGGCGAAGGCGGAUUACUGGACGACAACUGACGCUGAUACACGAAAGCGUGGGGAGCAAAC
rnacentral:rRNA from 1 species